GGUGGGGAGGUGUGGCGACACGCCGACGCAACCCAGGUCGGUAUCGCGGGUUCGAGUCCCGCCCCCACCA
rnacentral:tRNA from 1 species